rnacentral:tRNA from 2 species
GUCUCUUGAGUAUGAGGAGUACAUUUGCCUUCCAAGCAGAAAGAUUAGAUUGAUCUAAAAGAGAUA